AGACCCAGGUUCUGUCUGUUGCUUUUCCCAUCUGAUGUCCCUUUUCCAAGUGCACAUGAGUGGCACUAGAAGGUGGGGCCUUGAAGAUCUAAUUAGCUCAUGAGAGUGAAGACCUCGUGAAUGGGAUCAGUGCCUUAUAAAAGAGGUUGCAGAGAGCUAGAUAGCCCCUUCCACCACGUGAGGAUACAGCAAGAAGUUGGCAAUUUGUAAUGGGAAAGAGAGCCCUCACCUGAAUCCAAGCAUGUUGGGACCCCAGUCGUGGACUUCCAAGCUUCCAGAACUUACACAAGAAGAGCCUUUUGUGAGAACAAAGCUAACACUCAAGAAAAUCAUUUCAAGGAAUAGAGAAGAUUUUCUUGAUGGAUUCAGCCAUACUGGAAACUCUGAUCUACCUCCAGGCUUUUCAAUUAUGUCAUCAGGGAGUCUACAAACUGAGGCUGAGUUUGACUAGCUUUUGCUCAGAGCUACAGGCCAGCAUCAACCUCGGAGCUACCUUUCAGAGAGAACAGAGUUGAUACAGAGCAACUUUCAGAACUGUGAUUAAUGGUCUGGGAAAAUGAAGUAAAAUUGAAGUUCAUGUCAAGCUGGCCAGAAGAGAAAAUAAGCUGAUAUAAGAUGGUCAUAGAUGUGGCCCACUGAACUUACCGUGGUUCACAUUCCCACCUGUGAGCAGCAAGGGAGCAAUAACAUUAUAGAUGAGCCACUCAUUUUUGGAAUGGAGCACAGCUGCUGUCUAAUGGCCUGGAGGAACCACAGCCUGAGACCAGAAGUGAAGGAGAAUACUUGCCUAACUCAAACUGAAGGUGAAAUUGAAGCAAGCAGAUACUAGUGUUCCAAGAAUCAGGACUGGCCAGUCAUGAGGACUAACAUCCCUUCUCUCAAUGACACUAUGCCAAGAGUUUUUGUUUUGUUUUGCUAUUUUUUAAAAAUGAUGCAACAGCCUUCAGAUCCUGAGUUUAAAGGCCUGAUGCAGGCCUGAGUCAUUGGCACCACUCUGUAACUCCUCUCUGUUGCAGGUGUGCUGCCGGGCUCCUCUGGGCCCAGCCAAAGCCCCUCCCCUUCCUCCUCACUCCCCUCUCUCCACCUGACAAUUGUAAAAUUUAAGGAGCAGAUCCUCUCAGGGUGGUAUAGCUUCAGGCAUAUGAAUUCUUUCCGGGGCUCUUUGAGCUUGGAAGCAGUUUAAAGGUAAGAAGGUUUGAAGAGUGAAUGAGUUCCCAAGAAUAAACAUGUUUCAAAGGAACCUGAAUGAGGGACUUUGUUUAUGCGGGUUUUAUAUGACGUUUGCUUACUUAAUGUAGUAACUCCUUGAACAUAUUGCCUUGUAUGAUAUAAUUUAUUUACAUAAUUCUGGAUUGGAAAAUCAUGAGCAAAC